GGUAGUGCUCCCUGGUAGUCGUGGCAGGCACUGCUCACGCGGAACCUGUACGUUAACUGCUCCAGUUGCUGUCCGUUUUCCGCAGCCGUGGACAGUGUGGAGCGGCUGCCCAGUCGGAGCAGGUUUGUAUGGCGCCUCAGCGCUCAACGAGAUAGUGAUGUGCUGUCCUGACGUCUCCCUUACGGACGGCAGCGGGGAGCCUGAGCGCCGAGAAGCAGGGAAAUUUCCUGCUUCCCUCUAGUUAGCUACGCCAGGAGACCCACGUUUGGUUUCCAGCACCCACAUGGCAGCUCACAACUACUUCAACAACCAUUUCAGGAUAUCUGAUGUCCUCCUUCUGACCUCUGAGGGUACCAGAAGAUGUUUGCCAGUGAGACCACAGAUCCUGAGAAGCACAUGCCAGAGUGACCAGUGGCAAUUGCAAAGGAUGCACAGCUCCACAAGAGUCCAGGGGACUGGAAGGAAAUAACCUAAGCCAUUUUCUUUCAUCAAAAAUCUAGAAAAUAGUCAUGUUUGUAGUUCAGACCUCAGAAGGGCUGUAACUCAGCAGUGCCAGAAAUGGAGGCCCCCCCCAUCAUAGAAGCAAGCUGUAAUCACCUCAGUCUAUCACCAUACUAAGUAACCCACUGUCCAAAAAAGCAAACGAGAAAGAUACCAUCAGAUAGACUCUCAAACUAACUAUGAUUACAGAGUAGGUGGGAUUUAUAUAAAAAUUGAUAAAGAAUAUACAAAGGCCUAGUGAGUGAAUAUGAAGAGCAACAGACACAGGGAGCUUCUCAAGAGAGCCAGAGAAAAGGCAUCCAGUCACUGGGAAUUACAACAAAACUGAUCAUAGUCUUUUCUUCAGGGGUACAAAAGCCAGAAGACAGGAAAAUGAGUCCAGCCCACUGUUGUGGCUUAGAUAUGAAAUGUCUCCAUAUUUCCACUUGCUGAAAUCUUGGAUGCGACUUUCGGGGCUUUUAUGAUUGAUUUAUGAACCCCUGAACAUCAUCAACAAGUAAUUGAUGACAGCCCAGCCCACAGGGCUUAUUAGGAAGUGGGGCUGGUUGGAGAGAGCAGUUCACUGGGGACAGGCCUUUGGCAAGUACAUUCUGUCUCUGGUGAUUGCUGACUUUCUGUUUCCUGGCCUUCAGGAGGUGAGCAACUUUAUUCUGCCUCAGCCUUCAACCAUGAUGAUACACCUCACCACAGGCUGAACCUCUAAAACUAUCAGCCAGAAUAAAACCUACUUCCUUUUAAAUAGUUGUCCCAGUGACAAAAAGAAGUCUAAUACAGUGAUAUGUAUAAAUCUUAGAAAAACACAAAUUGGCAAAACAGAUGCAGGAAGCAAUGUGUAGUAUGAAUAAUUGUUGAUGAAAAGGAAAUCCACUCAAGAAAAGGUGAGGCCCCCACACCUGGCCACACCAGUCUGCAAACUUUUCUCUUCCUCAAGAUCAAACAAAAGCAAAAGAAAGGGAGAUAAAAUACCACAAACUCAAGUUUUCACAGAAUUGCUCAGUACAAAUCAUUCUCAGAUGCUGAGAUAUUUCAAAGUAAUAUCAAACACAGAUGCCACAUUAAAGGAAAACUAAAGAAUCAUAGCAAAGUGUAAAGAACCCAAAAGAGACACAACACCAGCCCAGGAAAAGAUGAAAAUUCAACAUGCAAAGUGUGUUUCCACUGAAUUUGUACUGUGUUCAUACCAUUGUAAAUCCAAAACAUCCUGAGACUAUCUUGGGAUAAAAUUUUAAAAAUAAUUUUUAGCUUAUCUAAAUACAAAUCUACUUGUGAGUUCCUUCCAGUAUUUUUAAAAUAAUUUAUGCCCCCCACACACAGCAUGGAAAAAGGAACAUAUCUAACUGCUGUUUCUGGGAGCCAGCAGAGUUCCUCAAACAUAAUACUAUGCCAUUGCUCAAUCAUUGAUUAGUGGGUAGAAAAUGCUUCCAUGAAAGGCAGUACCUGGAAUUCCUACAUACCUCCAGAACGUAGGGACUUGGUAGGCCAGCUCAUCUUGGAGGGAACACCACAGAUGGUAAGAAACGAGACUGACCCUUGGUGUCAUUUAUCCAAGAGUGAGUCUGAUUGGUUUGUCUGAAGACCUUUGAGCUGAUCUCUUGAACAAAGGCCAUUAUGGCCACUCUAUUGAAUAGUCCAGCAACUAUGGUGUGAAAAAGGAAUGAGAAAUUUUGUCUUAAGUAUUUUUUGUUUGUUAAUUUUUUUUAAUAAUUAAAUCUUUUUUUGACCAGCCUCUUUUUUUUUUUAAAGAUUUAUUUAUUUAUUUCAUGUAUGUGAGUACAUUGUUGCUGUCUUCAGACACACCAGAAGAGGGCAUCGGAUCCUGAUUACAGAUGGUUGUGAGCUACCGUGUGGUUGCUGGGAAUUGAACUCUGGACCUCUGGAAGAGUAGUCAGUGCUUUUAACUGCUGAGCCAUCUCUCCAGCCCUUGUCUUAAGUUUUUACAAAGGUCUCAUAAAGGGAAAAUUUUUUUCUCUGACCCUAUUGACUCAGAAUAUCACCCAAGGACACAACCAGGUAUUAUUAAGCCCACACAUUGCUUUCACCAUUGGAGGGAGAGGUUCAAACCUUACUGCUUCCAGCAAAUGGUCAUAGUUAUAGCCCCUAUAUCUUUUGCACAAAUACAUUGCUCUGAGCUAGGAAUCAAUAACUCACUAAGAAGAAAGAGAGUAAAUUAUAUCUUAGGAAGGCCAAAGCAUAGUAAGAUUGAAUACAUUGUUUUUUCUUAAAGGUCAAUUAAUUCUGAACAGGUUGAAUACACUGUACUUUGAAUGCAGAGCAUUCAAAGAUCUCAAAGCACAUUAUUAACUUGGUUGUAGGUUGGGUGAAAGUUUGAUUUGUAAUGGCAAGCUGCAAACAACAUUUCUUAGAAAAACCAUUCAGUUUCUUCUCCUGAAUUCAAUAACCUGGAUUUGCAGAGAUCUUGCUUUAUACUGAGGAGGUGCGUCAACAUGCCUAGGUUUCAAAAUGGAAAAACAUGUCUUUCAAGAUAAUCUGAGACACCAUAUGAAGAAAACGGGCAUUCAGUCAGUGUUUUUGAAUGUAGGAAGAAUGGCAGGCCUCACUGACAAGGCUGUGGCUACUUCCAUAUAAACAGUGAGUGGGGCCACGCAGCCACGGAGAUAACUUCCCCAUGAGGUGUGGGGAGCCGACAGAAGGUGGCUAUCAUCCUUCCAGCCAUCUUGAGCCAUAUACCCUGACAAGAGGCUUGUUUACAAUAGCCUACAACAGCUGAGAACACUCUGAUAACAUCUUGCUUUAGAUACCCAGGAUUUUCCCUUGGGUGUGUGAGACUUAAAGGCCUGUGACUUAAGGGCGUGACUUAGAGAUCAGAUUUAGAGACAAGGCCUAAGGGCAUGACUUAAAGGUGUGACUUAAAGGCGUGGCUUAGAAGUGAGACAUAUAAAAGGUGAGAGGCAGAAGAGUUCAGUACAACUUGGAGUAGGAAUUAGGCAUUAGGACAGUACAACUUGGAGUUAGUUACUAGACAUUAGGCACUUAGCACUUGGAAGAAGAAAGUUGGAACUUGGAGGCACUAGGAACUAGGGACUAAGAACUCAAGACUUGGGACUUGGGACUUGGGACUUGGACUAGGAAGAGAGAUUGAAGAAUAAACAGGAUUGAAUCAC